rnacentral:rRNA from 1 species
AGUGAACGCUGGCGGCAGGCCUAACACAUGCAAGUCGAACGGCAGCACCGUAAGUGCUUGCUCUACCGGGUUGCGAGUGGCGGACGGGUGAGGAAUGCAUCGUGCUCUGCUUUUUCGUGGGGGCUAGCGUAGCGAAACUUACGCUAAUACCGCAUACGACCUACGGGGGAAAGCAGGGAAGCUUCGGACCUUGCGCGAUUGAAUGAGCCGUUGCCGGAUGAGCGAGUGGGGGGGGUCAAGCUCCACCAAGGCGAGGAUCCGUAGCUGGUCUGAGAGGGUGAGCAGCCCCACGGGAAUGGAGACACGGUCCAGACUCCUACGGGAGGCAGCAGUGGGGAAUAUUGGACAAUGGGCGAAAGCCUGACACAGCCAUACCGCGUGGGUGAAGAAGGCCGUCGGGUUGUAAAGCCCUUUUGUUGGGAAAGAACAGCAGGAGGUUAAUACCCCGCUGUUCUGACGGUACCCAAAGAAGAAGCACCGGCUAACUUCGUG